UAGCCCGGCGAAAGUCGGAUUAAUACCCCAUAAAACAGGGGUCCCGCAUGGGAAUAUUUGUUAAAGAUUCAUCGCUGAUAGAUAGGCAUGCGUUCCAUUAGGCAGUUGGCGGGGUAACGGCCCACCAAACCGACGAUGGAUAGGGGUUCUGAGAGGAAGGUCCCCCACAUUGGUACUGAGACACGGACCAAACUCCUACGGGAGGCAGCAGUGAGGAAUAUUGGUCGAUGGCCGAGAGGCUGAACCAGCCAAGUCGCGUGAAGGAAGAAGGAUCUAUGGUUUGUAAACUUCUUUUAUAGGGGAAUAAAGUGGAGGACGUGUCCUUUUUUGUAUGUACCCUAUGAAUAAGCAUCGGCUAACUCCGUGCCAGCAGCCGCGGUAAUACGGAGGAUGCGAGCGUUAUCCGGAUUUAUUGGGUUUAAAGGGUGCGUAGGUGGUGAUUUAAGUCAGCGGUGAAAGUUUGUGGCUCAACCAUAAAAUUGCCGUUGAAACUGGGUUACUUGAGUGUGUUUGAGGUAGGCGGAAUGCGUGGUGUAGCGGUGAAAUGCAUAGAUAUCACGCAGAACUCCGAUUGCGAAGGCAGCUUACUAAACCAUAACUGACACUGAAGCACGAAAGCGUGGGGAUCAAACAGGAUUAGAUACCCUGGUAGUCCACGCAGU
rnacentral:rRNA from 1 species